rnacentral:sRNA from 1 species
UACAAAAUUACAAAAUAUUUAGACAAUGAUUCAUAAACAUAUCAUAAAUAAGAUCAACAUUAAUAAAAUAAAUAGGUUUUUUUACGGGACGGGUUGGCGGGACGGGUUUGGCAGGACAUUACUUAAUAACAAUUGUAAACUACAAAAUAAAAAUAUUUUAUAGAUAAAUAUAAUUUGCAAACUUUUAUAUAUACUAACUUUAAGAAAAUAAAUUGUAUACCGCGGGUUAAAAUCUAGUUAACUCAACAUAAGCAAUAAAGCGAAUGGAGUUAAUGAAAUGAUUACGACUCUGAAGU